GGCCCUUCCUGCGGCGGCCGCCACCAGCCGGAAUAGCAACCGGCGGAGCCCGUGCGCACCGCAGCGCAGCGCAGCGCAGCGGCGGGGGGGGGGUGCGGGCGCCCUCGCCACCCGGCUACUACCGCCGCCUGGGCGCCGCCGCUGCCUCCCUUCCCCGCUUCUACCCUCCAGCAGACGCCCGCCGGGGCGACCCCUCCCAGAGUGACCAGGGGGAGGUGUUCCACGUGGCCAUAGCGUUUGCGUCACAAUGACCUGGCGGACAGGUGGGAGCCACAGCGUACACCCCAGGGUUCCCUCUCUGCUGUGCGUAGUGCCUGCUGCUUGCUUCCAGGUUAAAUUUCUGUAGCUUUAGAGGACAGGAGACUUCAUGACUUCAAUGCCAAGAAAAGUUACAGAGGCCUGCUGUACCUGGAAAUCAAGUAUGAGCUUCAAGAAUAAAGGCCAUGUUUUAAAAACAGCUGUGUAUGUAUAGGAAAGAACCAAACCAUUGUUUCUAGAGACCCUGCAGUAUACAGAUCACAGGAAGAAAAAGUGUUGGCAUAGCUGCUUCCUAAUAUUAUCUAUGUGGAAAUGAAACCUCAAUGUAGUAUGACUUCAUCCCUGGUUAUGUUAUAUAUUUAUAAAUAAGUUCAUUCAGUCGUCGCUGAAACAAUUUAAAAGGGCUGAAUGAUAGUUAUUGAGUAAUGAUGCAGACAAAUCUGAAAUCCUGCGCUAACAUGGAUGGAGUGCUAGCUCUGUGUCCGGCACAUGCUGUAUGCUUUAUAUUUAAUCCUUACAGCAACCCAAUACUGUAGAUAAAAUCAUUAUCCCGAUUUCACAGAUGAAGACACUGCCUAGAGUGCCAUAAAGAGAUUAUUGAGCAGGGAUUUGAAUCUGAACCAGGAGACUUAGCUUAAUCUCAAGAUAGCAUGGUGUCUUGCCAGAAUGGAUGGAGAAAAACUAUAGAAUAUGUUGACAUUUUAAUAGAAAGAUAAUAAGAUAGCAUAGCUCCAGAAAUUUACGUAACCUUUAAAGUUAUUCUUUGGGGAUUCUGUUUGUCAUAGAUUUGAGCCUGUCCUAGUCUUAACACAAAUUUUGGAGCUGAGUAAACAGCUCUUUAGUAAGUGUGUAUGAGUAAACAAAUCAUGAAUAUGGUCUACAAAAUAGUAAAUUGUUGAAAAGCUAAGAUUCAGGAGAAGUUUUCAGAGAGAAAAGCAUUGCUUAUAUAUAUUUGGCUUUUAUAAAAAACAUUCAAACUAACCUGUUAACAGCGCAAGCCAAGUGAUUUUGCUCUAUGUAAGAAAAAAACCCAAAGCCUUUAAAAUGAGAAAGUCUUCCUUACAAAAGAAAGAUUAAGAUAUUUUAAGAUACAUUGAUUCCAAGAACAGUAAAUUUAUGUGUAAAAAUCUAUUAUCGGGAGUUAAAAGGAUAAAGAGAUUAUUAUUCUUUAACAGAAUGAAGUGCCGUAAUGAACAUCGUAGGUGCUCAAUAAAUGUUGACUGAGUGUAUCAUCAGUUAAUUGAAGCAUUGAGAAAGGACUAAAUCACUUGAAAAAAGUUUUUCCUGACUCUAUAAUGUUCUCCUUUCUACCACUAGUGAUUUACCAGUUACAUGAAAACUUAAUCAGAAGCCCCGUUGGUUAAAGGCUGGCUCUGGGGCAAAUAUUUAAAUCUGUUACAAAACAGCCAGUAGAAUGGGAGGUUGUGUGUGUUCAAAGUAUCCCCUCAAAAUGCAGAUGAUUGGAACAAAAGCAUGAAGGGAAAAAACGGGGACAGCUGAGCUGCAACUGAUUACACAGUUUUCUUUUAUGCUUUCUGAAUUCCAAGGUGAAAACUGUGACUGUGAGUCUAACCUGUUACAAAGGCUAAAAGUGGCUUCAAAAGCAGUAUCUAAAAGAGAACAAAUACAUGAUAAAAGCAUUAUGUAGUCAACAUGGCACUGAAAUUCUUUGGGCUCCUGGAGAGUUUAGGAGAAAACCUUAAAUGAUUUUUCUUCAUUCUAAUUAUUGUCCUAACACUUAGGAUAAUAUUUGAGAAAGGAAAUAAUAGACAACUCCUGCUCGUUCUCCGUUACCACAAUGAGUACUUUUCCUUCCCCUUAAAUAAAAUGGCUCCAUCAAUAACACUUGCAUUUGUUUCUGAAUAACCAGUUGUUUCCAUCUUGCUGAACACCAGUAAGGUGCUAGUGAGAACCCGAAACAGUUUCUAAGGAGAAUGGCUAUUGAAUGAUGGGAUCAGAAAUUAGGAGAGAAAUAAGGUGCGUUUUCCAGUGUACAACAGGAUGACAAAAUUUUCUAUGAAAAAAAUCUUUACAUAUUCAAUUCAAUAAUUUUUUCAAGAUAUGCUAAUAGGACCACAAGAGUUGGAUUUGUGUUAAGCUACUAACAGAGACUUGGAAUAAAGGUGGAUUAAAUGAAAUAGGGCUUUAUUUUUUCUCACUGAAAUUGGAAGGUAGGCAGUCUAGGGCUGGUGUGAUCUCCACUGUGUCACUGGGCUAUUACCCUUCUGUCAUUCUAUUCUGUCAUCCUAGGCAAAGCAAUAUUGCCCAAAGGUAAACCCAGGUGAGGAUGUAAAUUGGUGGUGGAAACUGCUGGUGGGAAUGUAAAAUGGUGCAACCACUUUGGAAAACAGUCUGAAAGUUCCUUAAACGAUUAAACAUAGAGCUACCAUAUGACCCAACAAUUCCACUGCUAGGUCUAUAUCCAAGAGAAAUAAAAACCUAUGUCUACACAAAAACUUGUACACAAAUGUCUGUAGCAGCAUUAUUCAAAAUAGUCAAAAGGUCAAAACUGUCCUGCUGUAGACAAAUGAAUAAACAAAAUGUAGUAUAUUCUUGUAAUGGAAUAUUCAGCCAUGCAAAUGAAUGAAAUACUGAUAUAUGCUACAACUUAGACAAAACUUGAAACAUUGUGCUGCGUGAAAGAAGCCAGUCACAAAUAUAUUAUUCCAUUCAUAUGAAAGUCCAGAAUAGAGAAAUCUGUACAGGCAGAAAGUACAUUAGUGAUCAUUUAGGGCUGGAGAGAGUAUGGGUGGAUAGGGAGUGAGAUCUAAAGAGUAUGGAGUUUCUUUUUCUUCUUUUUUUUUUUUUUUGAGACAGAGUCUUGCUCUGUCCUGCAGCGUGGAGUGCAGUGACACGAUCUCGGCUCACUGCAACCUUCACCUCCCAGGUUCAAGUGAUUCUCCUGCCUCAGCCUCCUGAGUAACUGGGAUUACAGGCAUGCACCACCAUGCCCAGCUAAUUUUGGUAUUUUUUGUUUGUUCGGUUUUUGUUUUUUCUGAGACGGAGUCACACUCUGUUGCAUAGACUGGAGUGCAGUGGCAGGAUCUCAGCUCACUGCAGCCCCCAUCUCCUGGGUUCAAGGGAUUCUCCUGCCUCAGUCUCCCGAGUAGCUGGGACUACAGGCGUGUGCCACCAUGCCCAGCUAAUUUUUGUAUUUUUAGUAGAGACAGGGUUUUGCCAUGUUGGCCAGGCUGGUCUUGAACUCCUGACCUCAAGUGAUCCACUCGCCUUGGCCUCCCAAAGUAGUAGGAUUAGGAGUUUCUUUUUCAUGUGAUGAAAAUAUUUUAAAAUUGACUGGUGAUGUUUACAAAUAUCUGCAAUAUGCUAAAAAACAUUGAGUUGUGCAUUUUACAAUUCAUUGUGAAUUAGUGGUAUGGGAAUUAUGUCUCAGUAAAGCUGUUUAAAAAGAAAAAAAGGUGUUCAUAGUUUUAUUGGCACGCACACAUACAUGUGUGCACACAUGUACACAGUAAAUCCAGUAUCUUCCUCAGGAAUAGUUACAAGGUAAGAACCAUAGAACAAACC